ensembl:lncRNA
ACUGACUCCAUCCGUGAGUGGUGCGUCGGCGGAGCUAUGAAUGGGCAGAGAGGGGUGUACUCUCACAGACACCAUAGCAGCAGUGAGAUGAGGAGUGUCAUUUACUCCACUGCACGCCUACUGUACUGAGAGGAGAAAAGAGAGGGAAGGAGCUUUCAGUUUGAGCUAAGCUUCAUGUCCAUUGUACAUCUGGAUGAAUAACAAGCAGGUUCUGGAUUUCUAAAAUAGUUCUUCUAAUGGGAGCUCACACCGCCUUAGAGAGUCCUGCAAAAUAUGUGUAAGUGCUGUAAAACAAAACCUGUCCAGCCGAUCGAUGCAGGCACAUUAAUGUGGAUUGAAAGAUUGUGCACAGUUGAAGGGCAGUCUUCAAUCAGUCUUCAGUGGGUUAAGAAUGAAAAGAUUAUGGAGUCAUAACCAUGACUCGGGUAUCAGGUGAGAUACACAUGGCUCAGCUGUGAUUCCGACAGAGGGCAGUUGUGCUGGUCAGCUACUGACUUAAUACAUCCAGCUGGGUGUAGUUGGGAUGUGUGCAUGUCCCACCUGAGUGUGACAAAACAGACAGCACAUCAUCAUCAAUUACACGGCAUAAUGUCCUUGACACUGAGCCAUUUUCAUGUGCUCUCUUCCAUCACUGCUCACAUGCUGACCUUGGUGCUCCAGCCAUCUCGCUGUGUGUUGUCUGUGGUAAAACAGCCCAUUUUAUUACACAAAUCCUGGCCACGUGAAGAUUUGCGAUCAGCAUGUUUGCAGACACUUGUGUGGUGGCUGAGAAAUGUCAGACACUGAUUUUUAACUCCUGGUUUGAAUUCCUCCCAAAAGACUUGAAACCAUCAACACAUGGCUGAAGCGAUACAGGCAUCCAGUGUCAUCACUGUUUGACUAAAUCAGCGAAUGAAACUAAUGACUUCUUAUUGUGUUUCCAGGAGGGAGUGAUUUGGCAGACCUUUAGGUUGAGCAGGAAGAAGGCAGGAGUGACAGUGCAGAGGCAGAACACACAUCCACAGGAAACUUAUGCUUAAGGAGCUCUUGUCAUGUUCUUUUUCUCAGUUAGGGAGUUAAUUAGUGUUGACCCGGACGCAAAGAUAGGCUCUGUGUGAGGUUCUUUCAGGGUUAUGGAUUCAAACCUCCGGAAUAGAUUUGCUUCUUACGUAACGCAGAUGUGAACAGCAGCGUUUAUUAAGGAUCGUAAAGGCUACGUAGUCAUUAAACUUUUCUGCCUUAUCUUUUUCCUUCUGCUGCAUCUCAAAUUGAGACUGUUUGUUCAUCCCUGCAGAACAAAACUUAUUCAGUAGCUUUAAAUGGUAAAGAUUGCUUUGCAUGUGUAUGCUCCCGUCUGUAGGGGCAUGUAAAAGCUUUAUGCAUGUACAUUUCUUUUUAUCUAUAUCAAAAAAAGAGACGUGAUGAUUUCGAUGUGCCACCUUGAUUGUUGCUCAUGUGGACUAAUCGUUGGCGAAGUGUUUCUAAAAGCCACAGGGGUUUUUAUCUCUGCUACAAAGGAGCUGGACUUCCACCCGCCUCAGUCUAACCUAUACGAUCCUCCACUUCUUGGCUUCGUCUGCAGUGGAAGAAUUUCUCUUCUACACAAAGAUGAAAAGACGGUAACAGAGGAAAGCAGGGGUUGACAGAGUGAGGCAAGCAAGCAAAUCAUUCACAUUUAGGUCAUUUCCUUCAGCGAGUUGGUCAGAAAGAGCACUCAGGACUCUUUGAAUGCCUGCCCUGCCAUCAAGCCUCAGAUUAUCCUCAGCUGUCCCUCAAAGGACUAUAAUGCACAUUUUAAAGUAAGUGCAGAGAGUUCAUCAUCCCUCCUGGCUGUACCUACCGAACAAACAUACAUGUUCUGCGGUAAUGGAACUUGUAUAAAAGAAAGCAGAAACUCCACUGGUACUGACCAAGUGGAGUAUUUCUGGCCUCACUGAAUAUCACAUAUAUUCCACUUCAGGUAGGACUUUGUACCAGAGUUCCCUGCAGCAUCAAAAGUGAUGCCACCAUGAUGUCAGCCAUCACAGCGAGUGAGUGCGCUCCCGUUGAUCAUUUCCUAUUCAUUCUUUAUGAGCCCUGGGCUAAAUGCUUCCUGUAAGCUUAGGCAGAACUGGAGCCCAGAAUAGUAGACUGUUUGACUUCAGUCAGAGUGUGUAUGUAUAUAUGUGUGUAUAUGUAUAUAUGUGUGUAUAUGUGUAUAUAUAUAUAUGUGUGUGUGUGUGUGUGUGUGUGUGUGUGUGUGUGUGUGUGUGUGUGUGUGUGUGUGUGUGUGUGUUUGGCAUUCUAGCCUCAUCAGUAAGUAAUAAGUAAAUUGUAAUUCCAUGCAUCUUGGAAAGAGAUAAGCUGUCUGUUAGAUGUGCUACAUUUUGAAAACUCAGCAAUGAUUGACGCUUUAAAGGCUCUGAAAAAAAAAACACAGCUUUUUGUGAAAUGACUCAGUUGCCUCAGUUACAUAAUGGUAAUGUUGCAUAUGUCUCUGCACCAAUCAGGAUUUAGAAACAGGUAUUUUUUUAAUGUAGAAACAUCAAGGAUAUGAAGUUAUUUCUGUUACUAUCACAUCAUUUUUCAUAUUUAUUAGGUUGCAAUAUGCCAAAUUACAUUAUUAAUUCAAUUUACAGUUAUUUUUAUACUAUUCAUUCACAACAGCAGUCACCUCAAGUUCAUUUAUAUUAUAAGGUAAAGACCCUACAAUAUUAAAGAAACCCCAAGAAUUACACAACCUCCUCCGAGCAAACACCUGGUGACAGUGGGAAGGAAAAACUCCCUAUUAACAGGAACAGACCUUCAGCAGAACCAGGCUCAGGGUGGGACACCCAUCUGCGGUGACUGGUUGGGGGGGAGGGGAAGGAGAAUAGAGGACAGAGAGACAGAACAAAUGGCAAAUCAUAGGAAAAAGAGCCAGAAAAAAAAAAUACUGGCAAAAGUGAUAGAUCCACUUAGAUGGUGUUUCUGCUAUUCUCUGCAGGAUGUAGACAAAAGCAUCAGAAAACUACAAUAACUUCCUAAUUUUAAAGUUUCCGCUUUCAAUAAUGUUGGUUCCCAUGUUCAACCAAGAGCUUUUAAGCUCAAGUCUUUUGUUUGAAAUACCUAUGACAUAUUUUAUUUCUUCUUUUUGAACAGCAGCACUGAACCACCCCUUCACACCAUUAGAAUCUCAUCGGUGUGCCUGACAGAGAGAAGCAGACAUCAAAAGGGAGGCUGAUGGACUGUUAAAAAAAGAAAGGGAAAAAAAGUCUCUUGUUCACUGAACCAGACCCAGUGGUGUUUUGUCCCUCAGCCAACAGGGCUCAUGACUCCAGCUGUGGCCCUGGCUGUGACUGUUGCCUAGUGUUCUCUGUGGUCUUUCAGUUCUUGAGGAAUCACUGUUUGAGUAACUGUGUGUGUGUCCUUGUUCAGAGCAGUCCUUUUCACGAUUUUAUUUGCUGUGACUUGCUGUUUUGCUUUCAUCCUCUGAGCUAAAGUUGAGCUUCUGUUAUGUCAACCAUUAGGGCUCCAACAAGCAAUGUUUAUAUACUGAAAUACAAUUUAAAAAAAAAUAUUUGGUGGAUUUAUGUAUAAUCAAACAAGGUCAGAAGAAUUACCACCCCUUCUUCCCCCCCACCGCUCCUUUUUUUUUUAAAAGUAUGCCUGUUUUGCCAGUAGAGAAAAUUGAGCCAAGCUAACCUGUAAUCAGUCAUAAUUUUUGCUUCUAGUGAAUCCCAAAGCUAAAAACAAACAACAGGACACUGAAAUCUGCAGUAGUGUAUCUCUGAGUCAGAGACACCCUCUAGUGAGAAGAGCUCAUAACUGCACACUCUCUUGCUCCACUUGGAUCUCUUGCAGUGGAUCAGACCGCUUAGGGCAAGAUUAAUUGUUUGCAUUUUACUGGAUAUAUUAAUGACUUUCCCUUGUCUGUUGUUGUUGCGUGCAGUCACGCUUUUUGAAAGUUUCUCUCGUUUUUUCUCCUAACCUUUUAGUUGCACAGCCAAAGUUUGCAAGAAAAACAGAGUGAUCCAUCCUAAGUCCCCACAGCCCCGAACUUCUGAGGAAAAACUUUCAAGUCAGCCAUGGAGCAGAAGACAAAUGAGUGUCCCACCAGCACCUCUCCUCAGAAACACAUGAAAAAUAGGUCUAAGUCCACAGAGGAGGUACAGCAGUCAAAGAAGGCCUUUUCCUCACAAAAAUCACUCCCAGGCAGACCAGAGCUGGAGAGAGUGAAGGAAUGUCCUGAUGGCUCUGAGACACCGUCAUCCUCCAGCGAAGAACUGAAAUGAUGAACAAAGCCAAAAAAAGAUGCCAUAAAGCUACAUCAUCAUAAACCUGAGACAUAAAAUGUGCAGAUGUACACAGCGGAACAUGCAGAAUAGUAUAUGAAAAAAAUGCAAGCCGUGAAUUGAUUAAAAGGAGAGAAUUGGACUAAAACACACACACACACACACACACACACACACACACACACACACACACACACACACACACACACACACACACACACACACAAAUUCACCCUACCGCUGAAACAACAUGUAUGUGAACAAAAGGACACCUGUGAUGAUAUUGUUUCAUUGUACUGUGAGUGGUGUAUACAUGCCACCUGAAUGUGUAGUAACAAUAAAGUGAUGUUGCUGAGUGAAUCUGUGUUUACUAACCUCCACUAAGCCAACUGCCAAAUAAUAAGGCUGUCGGAAACAAUACAGAUAGAUGAUGGUGUGCAGCAGAGGAUGAAAGAAGCACAGCUUAAAAUCGAAAUCUUUAUGAAAUCACCCAAUAAUAUGUAAGAUUAUCCCAUCGAUGCAUUCAAUGGCAGUCUCAGUGUAUUUUUAAAUAAAAAUAAAUAAAGGUGCUGAUGUUUAAGGACGGAAGAGCUGCUUCAUCACACAUAAAUAUAUGUAUCAUUAGUUUCAAAUGUUCUUUUCACCCUGCAACGUCUCCUGCAGUUUUUUUUUUUUUUUUUUACAAACUUGCAAGGUCCGAAGCCCAAUUUGAAAUCUGGCAACCUUCUGCCACCCACGCAAUCCUUUAAUCAUAACUCUGAUUACUGCAUGAAACUACGAUGGAGUGUUUUCUUCUCGGUGAUUUAUUUUGAUUUGCUUGUUGAAGUUCUGUUGAUUGAUUUGCUCGUUAAAGCCGAUUCUCUCUUAUGAGCUUUACGUCUGCCACCUACGAUAAGAAGUCAUUUAAAUUCCAUGGGUUUUAUUUUAAUAGUUGUGAUUGCUUUUUGUUUUUAAUUGUAAAAUGCGCCUCCUUGGCCAGCAAGCCUGCAGGCCUAACUUCAGCACCCACUAGGGGGCUGCAGCAACCACUUUGGGAAUCGCAUAAUCUGAAACGGAGGCCGUACAUGUGGCAGGAUUGACGCUUGUUCCUAAACCAGCAGCUUAGGUGCUCAAAUCCUGAAAUCGAGUUGAUUAU